GACAUAGGUGGCGAACGUUAUCCGGAAUUAUUGGGCGUAAAGGGUGCGUAGGCGGCAUGAUAAGUUAUUGGCGGCAAAUCGAGGCUCAACCUCGUGGAAACUGAUAAUACUGUCUUGCUUGAGUGCAGAAGAGGUUAACGGAACUCCAUGUGGAGCGGUAAAAUGUGUAGAUAUAUGGAAGAACAUCAAUAACGGCGAAGGCAGUUAACUAGUCUGUUACUGACGUUGAGGCACGAAAGCGUGGGGAGCAAAAAGG
rnacentral:rRNA from 1 species